GGAACCAUCUGGAGGGAGCCCCAGACUGCAGUGCAGAGGCUCAGUGUGGGACUGAGCAUGGCUCAGUUUGCACAUGCCAGAAUCAACACUCAGCGACUGGAACGUGCUCAGAACCGCCUUGUAACAAUUCUCCAAAUGGCCUUUACCAGGCAUUAGCGUGGCCUUGUUUCCCUGAGCCAUAUGGGAGUUGUGUGGUUCUGGCUGGCAGAGGCUGCCCUUGGGUGGUCCUGCGAUGCUGGUGGUCUUGGCACGUGGAUUUCAGUCCUGGGAGAUCCAUUUGGCUGAGGACAGGUUUGGGGUUAAUCCAAGCGGAUCCUGUUACUCCUCUGAGUUCAUGAGGAUGCUGAAGGACCUGCCAAUUGUUUGAAAUGAGAAGUACUGGCAGAAAAAGCUAAGCUUUACUGUUUGAAAGACAGUGACAUUUCAAAAUUGAUAUUCUGAAAUUGCCACAUCCCUUCUGGAAACAAAAAGCAAUAAAAGGUUGGUAUUUCAGUGAACUUCUCA
rnacentral:lncRNA from 1 species